rnacentral:rRNA from 1 species
CAAUAGCGUAUAUUAAAGUUGUUGCGGUUAAAAAGCUCGUAGUUGGAUUUCUGCUGAGAACGACCGGUCCGCCCUCUGGGUGUGUAUCUGGCUCUUUCUUGGCAUCUUCUUGGUGAACGUUGCUGCACUUGACUGUGUGGAGCGCUACCCAGGACUUUUACUUUGAGGAAAUUAGAGUGUUUCAAGCAGGCAUACGCCUUGAAUACAUUAGCAUGGAAUAAUAAGAUAGGACCUCGGUUCUAUUUUGUUGGUUUCUAGAGCUGAGGUAAUGAUUAAUAGGGAUAGUUGGGGGCAUUCGUAUUUAACUGUCAGAGGUAAAAUUCUUGGAUUUGUUAAAGACGGACUACUGCGAAAGCAUUUGCCAAGGAUGUUUUCAUUGA